GACGAACGCUGGCGGCGUGCUUAACACAUGCAAGUCGAACGGAAAGGCCCUGCUUUUUUGGGGUUCUCGGGUGGCGAACGGGGGAGUAACACGUGAGUAACCGGCCCUUGACUUUGGGAGAACUUCAGGAAACGGGGGCUAAUACCGUAUAGGAGCUCCUGCUGCGUGGUGGGGGGUGGAAAGUUUCGGCGGUUGGGGAUGGACUCGCGGCUUAUCAGCUUGUUGGUGGGGUAGUGGCUUACCAAGGCUUUGACGGGUAGCCGGCCUGAGAGGGUGACCGGCGACGUUGGGACUGAGAUACGGCCCAGACUCCAACGGGAGGCAGCAGUGGGGAAUAUUGCACAAUGGGAGGAAGCCUGAUGCAGCAACGCCGCGUGCGGAAUGACGGCCUUCGGGUAGUAAACCGCUGUCGCUUGUGACGAAGCGUGAGUGACGGUAAUGGGUAAAGAAGCACCGGCUAACUACGUG
rnacentral:rRNA from 1 species